CUCCUUCUUCACGUUAACCUAGCCGUCAUCUUCCUUAUGCGGCAACUCUGGAGGCUUCUCAUCAUCAGCCACCUCUGCUCACAAUCAUGGUGUCUUCCACCACCGGAGAAGCCAUUGUUGUUAUGAUUCGUUGUUGUGAUUUGUGCCAUUGAUAACGUGACCAAGACGAGAUGAGAAAGUGAAACCGGAUCCGUCACGUUCCGUCACGACCAGCCACAGAUUUGCACCGCCAUGAUCAGCAAGUCACCUUGAGAGCUGUUGUGGUCACUUUCCAUGGAGUCACAUAUUGCUGUCGUUGGUAAAUCACAAUGGAGCUAAGAGGUUUAUACAUGGAGAAGAGACGUACGUAUCGGAGCUGCCGCGUCAUGAUACGUACGGUGCCGUUUUACACCGUCAUCAAUGGUGAGCCAUCGGAGAUGGAGCUCAUGUCACAGGGGUCCAAGAUCCAGUGUCGCAAGUCAACAACAUGAAGUUUAUUUUUCUUUCAACCUAGACUUGGAGUUCUCAUCCAUCAUUUUAAAAGAGAAGACGUUAAGAAGAGUAAUGGAUCACGUUUCAUUCAAGACCAUUAAUAACAUGAAGUAAUAUUUUCAAGUCGUGAACCCAAAGCCGAGCUUUAUUGGACGAGGUGUAUCCGCUCCCGAACAUUUGUUGAUUCAUUUUCGGAUUUCCAAGGUGAGACAGACGAGUAUAUGAUAUUUGGACGGAUUGGUGCUAUUGGGCUUUUUAUUUGGAUUUUAUUUGGGUUUAGAAUGAGUGGAAUCGUGUAUAUGGGCUAUUGUGUUAUGAGUUAUUGUUGCUCGCCCAUUUUUCUCCACUAUCGUGAUAAGAGGUGACGGGUGCUACAUAACUCUUUUUGUUAGCAUAGCUCUCACUAUCCUUGACACAUAAACGGAUGAUACUUAUAACGUAUUAAUAGUUACUAAAUCAGUUGUCGACUAACAGAAACAAUAUUUCUUCUAUCAUAAAGACUGAAAUUAGAUAGUAACCAAAAAAAAAAAAACAAUACGGACUUUGCACUUGCUUGUCCGUAUAUCAUGUUGUUGAUAAUACAACAAUUUUUGUUGUUGUUAUUGAAUUCUUCUUCUCUAUGUAUGCAAAUAUUAUGCUUGUUUGCACUUGCUUGUCCUGUAAUACCAAAAUAAAAAUUUUAAUCACAUUGAAAAUUUUCCAUCAUAAAAUCAAUCUUUCGAAUUUUACAAAGCUAAUGACUCACCUAAAAUGA